rnacentral:tRNA from 1 species
GGCUUUGUAGCUCAGUCCGGCAGAGCACUCAACCGAAUUGACAUUCGGGGUUGUCCUCGGUUCGAAUCCGAGCAGAGCCACCA